ACGGAAGGCAGCAGUGAGGAAUAUUGGUCAAUGGGCGAGAGCCUGAACCAGCCAAGUCGCGUGAAGGAUGAAGGUUCUAUGGAUUGUAAACUUCUUUUGUUCGAGGGUAAAGUGAGGGAUGCGUCCCUUAUUGCAAGUAUCGAACGAAUAAGCAUCGGCUAACUCCGUGCCAGCAGCCGCGGUAAUACGGAGGAUGCGAGCGUUAUCCGGAUUUAUUGGGUUUAAAGGGUGCGUAGGCGGGAUGUUAAGUCAGCGGUGAAAGCGUGUAGCUCAACUAUACCAAGCCGUUGAAACUGGCGUUCUUGAGUGUAAACGAGGUAGGCGGAAUGUGAUGUGUAGCGGUGAAAUGCUUAGAUAUGUCACAGAACUCCGAUUGCGAAGGCAGCUUACCAGGAUGCAACUGACGCUGAGGCACGAAAGCGUGGGUAUCAAACAGGAUUAGAUACCCUGGUA
rnacentral:rRNA from 1 species